CACGUAGGGUGCGAGCGUUGUCCGGAAUUAUUGGGCGUAAAGAGCUCGUAGGCGGUGUGUCGCGUCGGCCGUGAAAACCUGCAGCUUAACUGUGGGCUUGCGGUCGAUACGGGCAUCACUGGAGUUCGGCAGGGGAGACUGGAAUUCCUGGUGUAGCGGUGAAAUGCGUAGAUAUCUGGAGGAAUACCGGUGGCGAAGGCGGCAUCCUGGACCGGCAUUGACGCUGAACAGCGAAAAGCUAGGGGGAGCAAACGGG
rnacentral:rRNA from 1 species